rnacentral:rRNA from 1 species
AGUGAACGCUGGCGGUAGGCCUAACACAUGCAAGUCGAACGGCAGCACAGUAAGAGCUUGCUCUUACGGGUGGCGAGUGGCGGACGGGUGAGGAAUACAUCGGAAUCUACUUUUUCGUGGGGGAUAACGUAGGGAAACUUACGCUAAUACCGCAUACGACCUACGGGUGAAAGCAGGGGAUCUUCGGACCUUGCGCGAUUGAAUGAGCCGAUGUCGGAUUAGCUAGUUGGCGGGGUAAAGGCCCACCAAGGCGACGAUCCGUAGCUGGUCUGAGAGGCUGAUCAGCCACACUGGAACUGAGACACGGUCCAGACUCCUACGGGAGGCAGCAGUGGGGAAUAUUGGACAAUGGGCGCAAGCCUGAUCCAGCCAUACCGCGUGGGUGAAGAAGGCCUUCGGGUUGUAAAGCCCUUUUGUUGGGAAAGAAAAGCAGCAGGUUAAUACCCCGCUGUUCUGACGGUACCCAAAGAAUAAGCACCGGCUAACUUCGUG